rnacentral:RNase_P_RNA from 1 species
AAGGUGCAACAGGUAGUUGCUGGCAGCAUAAUCGCUGCGAGAGGAAAGUCCGGGCUACAAGUGAGACAGGGCUCCAUCUAACGGAUGGCCAGAGUAAUCUGAGGGCAAGUGCAACAGAGAGUAGGUAGCCUGUCGGUGUUCUAUCGGCAGGUGAUAGUGAAAGGGUGGGGUAAGAGCCCACCGGUGCUUUUGGCAACAAGAGCAGCCAGGUAAACCCUGUCCGUAGCAAGAAGUAUAUGGUAUGAGUCUCACAAGCCAUUAACUUGGCAUUUAUACUUUGCUUGAGCGUAGUGGUAACACUGUGCCUAGAUAAAUAACUACCCAAGACAGAACCCGGCUUAUCGUUGCACCUGUAAU